UACAGAGGGGGCAAGCGUUGUUCGGAAUUACUGGGCGUAAAGAGCGCGCAGGCGGUCGUAUAAGUCGAAUGUGAAAGCCCCCGGCUCAACUGGGGAGGGUCAUUCGAUACUGUUCGACUCGAAGGCAGGAGAGGGAAGUGGAAUUCCGGGUGUAGUGGUGAAAUGCGUAGAUAUCCGGAGGAACACCAGUGGCGAAGGCGACUUUCUGGCCUGUUCUUGACGCUGAGGCGCGAAAGCUAGGGGAGCAAACGGG
rnacentral:rRNA from 1 species